AUACGUAGGGGGCGAGCGUUGUCCGGAAUGAUUGGGCGUAAAGGGCGCGUAGGCGGCCCGGUAAGUCUGGAGUGAAAGUCCUGUUUUUAAGAUGGGAAUUGCUUUGGAUACUGUCGGGCUUGAGUGCAGGAGAGGUAAGUGGAAUUCCCAGUGUAGCGGUGAAAUGCGUAGAGAUUGGGAGGAACACCAGUGGCGAAGGCGACUUACUGGACUGUAACUGACGCUGAGGCGCGAAAGUGUGGGGAGCAAACAGGAUUAGAUACCCUGGUAGUCCACACCGUAAACGAUGAAUGCUAGGUGUAGGGGGUAUCGACCCCUUCUGUGCCGCAGUCAACACAAUAAGCAUUCCGCCUGGGGAGUACGAUCGCAAGAUUGAAACUCAAAUGAAUUGGCGGGG
rnacentral:rRNA from 1 species